UGGAUCCAGACUUUGAUCAUGGCUCAGGAUGAACGCUGGCGGCAUGCCUAAGACAUGCAAGUCGAACGAGAUGGCCUUUUGAAAACUGCGUGCUUGCACAAAGUUGGAAAGAGAUUCUCCAUCUAGUGGCAGACGGGUGAGUAAUACAUAAGUAAUCUACCUUAAAGACUGGGAUAACGUUUGGAAACGGACGCUAAUACCGGAUGAUUCUUCUUACACAAGUAAGAAAGCUAAAAGGAGCGUUUGCUUCACUUUAAGAUGAGCUUAUGGCGUAUUAACUAGUUGGUGGGGUAAUGGCCUACCAAGGUGACGAUGCGUAGCCGAACUGAGAGGUUGAUCGGCCACAUUGGGACUGAGACACGGCCCAAACUCCUACGGGAGGCAGCAGUUAGGAAUAUUCGUCAAUGGGGGAAACCCUGAACGAGCAAUGCCGCGUGAGUGAUGACGGUCUUUAUGAUUGUAAAACUCUGUUGUAAGGAAAGAACCCUUAUCAUAGGAAAUGAUGAUAAGCUGACGGUACCUUACCAGAAAGCCCCGGCUAACUACGUGCCAGCAGCCGCGGUAAUACGUAGGGGGCGAGCGUUAUCCGGAUUUAUUGGGCGUAAAGCGUGUGUAGGCGGUUUGUUAAGUCUAAAAUAAAAGCCUGAGGCUUAACCUCAGUUCGUUUUAGAAACUGGCAGACUUGAGUGUGGUAGAGGCAAGUGGAAUUUCUAGUGUAGCGGUUAGAUGCGUAGAUAUUAGAAGGAACACCAGUGGCGAAGGCGGCUUGCUGGGCCAUUACUGACGCUGAGACACGAAAGCGUGGGGAGCAAAUAGGAUUAGAUACCCUAGUAGUCCACGCCGUAAACGAUGAGUACUAAGUGUCGGGAAACCGGUGCUGAAGUUAACACAUUAAGUACUCCGCCUGAGUAGUACGGUCGCAAGGCUGCAACUCAAAGGAAUUGACGGA
rnacentral:rRNA from 1 species